GUGUGCCUANNACAUGCAAGUCGUACGCACUGGCCCAACUGAUUGAUGGUGCUUGCACCUGAUUGACGAUGGAUCACCAGUGAGUGGCGGACGGGUGAGUAACACGUAGGUAACCUGCCCCGGAGCGGGGGAUAACAUUUGGAAACAGAUGCUAAUACCGCAUAACAACAAAAGCCACAUGGCUUUUGUUUGAAAGAUGGCUUUGGCUAUCACUCUGGGAUGGACCUGCGGUGCAUUAGCUAGUUGGUAAGGUAACGGCUUACCAAGGCGAUGAUGCAUAGCCGAGUUGAGAGACUGAUCGGCCACAAUGGAACUGAGACACGGUCCAUACUCCUACGGGAGGCAGCAGUAGGGAAUCUUCCACAAUGGGCGCAAGCCUGAUGGAGCAACACCGCGUGAGUGAAGAAGGGUUUCGGCUCGUAAAGCUCUGUUGUUGGAGAAGAACGUGCGUGAGAGUAACUGUUCACGCAGUGACGGUAUCCAACCAGAAAGUCACGGCUAACUACGUGCCAGCAGCCGCGGUAAUACGUAGGUGGCAAGCGUUAUCCGGAUUUAUUGGGCGUAAAGCGAGCGCAGGCGGUUGCUUAGGUCUGAUGUGAAAGCCUUCGGCUUAACCGAAGAAGUGCAUCGGAAACCGGGCGACUUGAGUGCAGAAGAGGA
rnacentral:rRNA from 1 species